CCCGGGCCUUGUACACACCGCCCGUCACGCCAUGGAAGUUGGUUUUACCUGAAGUUGGUGAGCUAACCCGCAAGGGGAGCAGCCGACCACGGUAAGGUUAAUGACUGGGGCG
rnacentral:rRNA from 1 species